CAGAAGGUUUCAAGUCAAAAUCCUAACCAAUCUGCUUUGAUCUCAUUGAACAAGACUCGCUUGCAAUGAAUGACUGAAGUGGAUAUAAAACAUGAGUUCACUUAUAUGUGUCCCAUGAAACUUUUAUUACUCAUUUAUCCUUCUUACCUAGAACAAUGAACAUCAUCGCAGUGACAACCAUGCAGAAUUAGCAGAACCUGAAUUACUCCAGAUAUUCUCAUUCUUAAGUUCUGCUCAGGAAGUGUAUAUUCAUGCCAAGGCCAUGGCACUCAGGGACUUUUAAAUAAUUCUCAGGAAGAAAGAAACUGCAGAGCCCAAGUGGAAUUCUGGAUAUAAUGAAAUCCUGCCCCAGCCUGGUGGCUUCUCUCAGAUCUUUCCUCCCGGCUUGCCGCUUCAUCGUCUCUGAACCUCCUGUGUCUCCUUCGUGAUAAACUUGCAUUUUUAGAA
ensembl:lncRNA novel transcript